GCUAUUAAAACUUCAGGAAGGAGUAAACACCGGAAAGCAGUCCCUUUUUCUUCCUUUCAUAUAUGCAUUUGUACUCCUCUUUCUUAGAAUAAGAAACAUUUUUCUCCUGAUUCAUUUAAUUUUUGAGAAUUUAUAAAUUUUAUAAUUCUAACAGGCUAGCUAAAAUCAUAUUUCUAGAAAAACUCAUAGAUCAAAGUCAUGUUAAAUACACAGAUGCUUACUUCCUAAAAGUAUUUCAUACCCUAAAAUGAGUUACCAAAAAGAUUCAUUUCUAUCCAUUCCUUGAGCUAACUCUAUCUCUAAAGAAAUCUUAAACUGUUUCUGUUCUUGUUCCUGAUGGUGUUGAGACAUGGCCUUUUUAAAUGAAAACUAGUGCUUCAGAUGCUUCCCUUACAUUAUCUCACACAUUGCAUUGGUAGCUCGGAUCACAUGUUUAUUGGUAGGUAACCUUUUGGUCAUAAAAGAUUGGCCAUUCGACUCAUAAGUAAUGAGAGUUCUUGGGGGAGAAAGGGUCAUUUAAAUAUGAAAAUAGUUAAUAAUGGGCUAGUUUGCAAAGGUAGCCAAAUGCCAUAGGUCAUUUUCUUUUCUAAUUUUUUCCCUUCAUAUUUUUAUGUCUGAAAAAUUAGAAUGGGAAUAUUCGCAAAUCCCUAAAGAAUUCUGUGUAAGCCAGGCUUGGGUUCAUUAAUUGGUCCCUUAGAAGCCAGUAUAGCCUUUCUUCAACUUACCUCUUAGAAAAAGAAAUAUUUUUCAUUGAUAUUGCGCUUAUACUGUAGACUGGAGAAGAGUCCACUUUUCAAAAAGAGAGAAGCUGGAUAUAGUGGCACACACCUGUAAUUCUAACAACUCAUGAGUCUAAGGCAGGAGGAUCACAAAUUCAAGGCCAGCCUUAGCAACUUAGCAAGACCCUCAACAAUUUAGCAAAACCCUGUCUCAAAAAAUAAAAGUACUGCAAAUAUAGCUGUUGCAAAGCACCUCUGAAUUCAAUUUCCAGAAUAAAAAAGAAAGAGGUAUCAUUUAUCUUCUUGACUGACUUAUAAGCACAGAUGUCAUAUA
rnacentral:lncRNA from 1 species